rnacentral:rRNA from 1 species
CCUAAGUGGCGGACGGGUGAGUAACGCGUGAGUAACCUGCCUUUCAGAGGGGAAUAACGUUCUGAAAAGAACGCUAAUACCGCAUAACGUACAGUUACCGCAUGGUAGCAGUACCAAAGGAGCAAUCCGCUGAAAGAUGGACUCGCGUCCGAUUAGCUAGUUGGUGGGGUAAAGGCCUACCAAGGCGACGAUCGGUAGCCGGACUGAGAGGUUGAACGGCCACAUUGGGACUGAGACACGGCCCAG